GUUCUUUGCUUCUCUCCCUGCAGUGGGUCCUGCAACUUCAGGCUCCUCUUAUCUUUACACACAAUCCAGAGCCAGAGCGAAAGUGAAACAAAAGCUCCAACAGGAGCCUGGAUUGAGUCUUCGUAGCUGAGAUUGGCCAGGUCAGUGGUUCUGACUGGCUUAGCUUGGGUAAGGAGAGCAGGGUGGAGGCAACUCCAACCCAAAGCUUCUGGGCCAGGAGGGGAGGCAGAAUGGCCUCCGGGCAAAACUGUGGUGGGGGAACAUGGACACAGUGGAACAAAACCAACCCAUAGCCACUUGUGGGACUGCAUCCACUUCUGCCUUUCAGAAGUCUGUUACAUGAACAUGGACCUUUGGCCUGCUGCUGCUGCUGCUGCUGCUGCUAAGUCGCUUCAGUCGUGUUUUACUCUAUGCGACCCCAUAGACGGCAGCCCACCAGGCUCCCCCGUCCCUGGGAUUCUCCAGGCAAGAACACUGGAGUGGGUUGCCAUUUCCUUCUCCAAUGCAUGAAAGUGAAAAGUGAAAGUGACGUCGCUCAGUUGUGUCUGACUCUUCGCGACCCCAUGGACUGCAGCCUACCAGGCUCCUCCAUCCAUGGGAUUUUCCAGGCAAGAGUACUGGAGUGGGGUGCCACUGCCUUCUCCGGACCUUUGGCCUAUUUAAUGUCAAAUAUUGGGGUAGAUAUAACAAAAAGUAUAAAGUGGUUUCUGCUUUCAAGGGGUUGAUAGUCUCCCAGAAAUGAGACGCAUAUAAACAAAUCAUUAUUGUAUCAGUUUGUCAAAGGUUCCAUGGAAAGACAGCCUGGGGCAGGAUGAACUCUGAAGGUUUAUUUGCAGUGCAUGAUCCCCAGGAAGCAAGAGUAAGGAAAACUGUAAGUAUAGCUGGGAAGAUGGGGAGCGAGGCAACGGGACACAUCACUGGGCUGGCAACUGCUUCUCAAAGAAUCCUGAAAAGAUGCAGCGGGCCACUGGUAGUGCAUUUUCUCAGCUACUCGGAUGUCUGCACGACACACUCUGUGUAGAGAGAGAAGCCUGUGGGAAAGAAGGAGGACCUUCCUACCUGGCUGCCCCCUGCCGGUUUCCACUGGUUGACUUUGAUGCAAUACAGAAUCGAUUCCGUGCCAAGCAGUUUGCACCAUCAAGCCCUUAGGCAGACCCUGGGAAGCCAGAGGCAGGCAUGCAGCUGGCUGAUCUGCCACCAUGGUCCUCUGAAGACACAGGCAAGCACACGAGGCCGGCAUGACUAACAGCAGAGCACCGGAUGGUUCAGCAGGGACCAUCGUCUUCCUGGAUGGCCCCGGACGUGCUGGGCAUCUCUGUGCUGUGCUGCCCUAGGGCUGGUGCCACUUCCUUUCAGUAUGAUCAGUCUUGGUAUAUGAAAAUAUUCAUCAUUCUUCUGCACCUGUUGAUUUAUACCGUUUCAUACGAAUAUGCUUUGCAAAAUGCUUGCAGUCUGCUUUACUCAUUGUCUCUUGGAAUAGCUUUUAUUUGCCUACUGGCUUAGGCAGCUCUAACAUGAACUUCACAGGCUGAAGUCUCUAACAGGUGUAGAACUCUAGAGUGCUGGGGCCAAGAGGAAGGUUUAUCUGUUCCCUUGCCAGAAAGAGUCUCUAUGGUGUUGGGGCUCCAGCUACAAAUAAACCUACAGUGUAUAUGCCCUUGAUACUUUCUACCUUAAUCAUUCUGUCUCCAAGAGUAAAAACUCAGAAGCGACAUUGCAUAUACUAUACUUGCUAUGUUCGGCAUUCUCAACUUUCUCCCCAGUGUGAAAUAUUUAAC
ensembl:lncRNA